rnacentral:rRNA from 1 species
UACGAGUGCCUCAAGCGUUAUCCGAAAUCAUUGGGCGUAAAGGGUGUGUAGGUGGCAUUGUUAGUCUCGCGUUAAAUUCUCCGGCUCAACCGGAGAGCUGCGUGGGAAACGGCAAAGCUUCGAGGACGGAAGAGGUCUCUGGAACUCAUGGUGUAGCGGUGAAAUGCGUUGAUAUCAUGGGGAACACCAAAAGCGAAGGCAAGAGACUGGUCCGCUCCUGACACUGAAACACGAAAGCGUGGGUCGCGAAUGGG